rnacentral:lncRNA from 1 species
AUAGGAAGGAUUUCAUGAGAAAUAUCUUUAGAAGACAACAUACAACUAUUUGUGAUUUUUAUAUGAAUAAAUUUAAUUUUUUUUUACUAGAAGUAUGUUUUAUUUUUUAAUAAAUACUUUAUCUAAAAACUAAGUUGAGACCCUUAAAUUUGACAAGGAAAAGGAUUUAUGAUGUUUAGGUCCUAAAUUAAUAUCUAUUUUAAAACAAGAAGAGGAUUUUAAAGAAAGAAUAAGAUUUUUAUUAGAUAUUGUACAAGGUUCUAGUUAAACAGUAUUUAUUGUAGCUAGACAAACUUAUUUUCUAACAUAUUAUUUUUUUUGAUAGCCAUAUUCUUAAUUUUGUGGUCAUAUUUGUUUUUGGAUAAUAUUGAAUAAUAUAAUAAAAUUCUCUAUUGUAUAAGUACAAUCUUUUCUAACAAUGACAAGUCUUUUUUUGGUCAAAAAGAAAUUUGAGAUAUACUGCAUCAAUUUUCAUAUUUUCUAUUUCUAAAUAUAUAUAUUGAAAAGAUGUUGGUAUUUUCAUUGAAUUAUUAAAAUAUUGAGGCCUACUUAUUUGAAUUUUAAAUCAAUAUUCAAA